rnacentral:rRNA from 1 species
UACGUAGUCAGCGAGCGUUGUUCGGAGUUACUGGGCGUAAAGAGUGCGUAGGCGGUUUUCUAAGUUUGGUGUGAAAUCUCCCGGCUCAACUGGGAGGGUGCGCCGAAGACUGGAAGGCUUGAGUAUGGGAGAGGUAAGCGGAAUUCCUGGUGUAGCGGUGAAAUGCGUAGAUAUCUGGAGGAACACCGGUGGCGAAGGCGGCAUCCUGGACCGGCAUUGACGCUGAGGCGCGAAAGCCAGGGGAGCAAACGGG